rnacentral:rRNA from 1 species
CCUACGGGAGGCAGCAGUGAGGAAUAUUGGUCAAUGGACGAGAGUCUGAACCAGCCAAGUAGCGUGAAGGAUGACUGCCCUAUGGGUUGUAAACUUCUUUUAUAUGGGAAUAAAAUGUUCCACGUGUGGCAUUUUGUAUGUACCAUAUGAAUAAGGAUCGGCUAACUCCGUGCCAGCAGCCGCGGUAAUACGGAGGAUCCGAGCGUUAUCCGGAUUUAUUGGGUUUAAAGGGAGCGUAGGUGGAUUGUUAAGUCAGUUGUGAAAGUUUGCGGCUCAACCGUAAAAUUGCAGUUGAAACUGGCAGGCUUGAGUACAGUAGAGGUGGGCGGAAUUCGUGGUGUAGCGGUGAAAUGCUUAGAUAUCACGAAGAACUCCGAUUGCGAAGGCAGCCUACUGGACUGCAACUGACGCUGAGGCUCGAAAGUGUGGGUAUCAAACAGGAUUAGAUACCCGAGUAGUC